GCAUCAGCCUCCGCUAGUGCAUCAGCCUCCGCUAGUGCAUCAGCCUCAGUGCAUCAGCAUCAGCAAGUCCAUCUGCAAGUGCAUCAGCAUCAGCUAGUGCAUCAGCCUCCGCUAGUGCAUCAGCCUCCGCUAGUGCAUCAGCAUCAACUAGUCCACAUCAACUAGUCCAUCACCAAGUGCAUCAGCAUCUGCUAGUGCAUCAGCAUCUGCUAGUGCAUCAGCAUCCGCAAGUCCAUCCGCAAGUCCAUCCGCAAGUCCAUCCGCAUCAACUAGUGCAUUAUUCUGAGCUUUUCCGUCUUCAAGUACGUCCGCAUCUGUAAGUGCGUCAACCUCAGCGAGUGAAUUUGCAAGUCCAUCAGCAUCGGCUUGUGUAUCACCAAGUGCAUUGUCCUGUACUAGUCCAUUUGCAUGUGCGUCAGCAUGUGUCAUUGGAUCAAUGUCGUCUAUUCCAUCAGCAAUUGCAUCCACGUGCCCUAUUCUAUUCCCAAUCGCAUUCGAGCCCACUAUUCUAUGGGAGUGCAUCCGCAUCCAGGUGUUCAUCACCAAGUACAACGUCCUCCGCUAGGUUUGGUCCAUCUUCUUUUGCGCAAGUUCCUUCCGGUGUCGCUUCUUCAACUAGUCCAUCUCGCGCGUUACAAUGUAUGCCCACUGAACUUCUUCAAAUUGUGCCCCAGCGUUUUCUAGGCCAUCUGCCGGGGUACAGGCUUCUUUGGGUCCCUCACUAUCUGGUCGGACUGCGACAAUUGUGUAAAUUUUUAAUCCAUGUCUCAUCGGUGGCUAGUUCGUCCACCAAAUUCCUAAAUUUCAUGUAGUCAAUCCCUUCCUGCCUCCAGAUCACCAGAUGCAUCUGCAAUUACCUCAAAUAGUUGAUCUGCAAAUACUUCAACCCCGGCAAGUGCCAUUGCUUCAGAUAGUUCAUUAGUAAGUGUUUCACCGUCAGCUACCGUUUAACCGCUGGCAAGUCAAUUGCGCGUGUAUGAUACCCGCUUAUGUUUUGUAACGGACGCGCACUGCACUAAUGAUGUGAACGAGAAUUCAAUACUCUUGAAUGUUCUGCUAAUCUCUUAAACCUCUAUUGUGCUGAGUAUUAAUCAUGAAAAUUACAUUCCUAGUGAGUGCUUCCUCCAGUUCAAACGUCUUGCCGCUACAUUGUUUUGGAUUGUUUAGUUACAUAGCUGUACCAUCCUUUCGUCUGACAAACUUUGCUAUCCAGUUGACCAAGCAACUGUAACAAUGUUUCUGUAGGUGAAUGUAUGGGGAGCAUCGAUAUCAAAUAUCUUUAUUGUUGAACGUUUGGAGCAUAUUGCACACUUUAAAACUCUUGGACCAUUUGUGAAGUAGAAGAAACUUAUUCUAGAUGAGAAUCCUGCAAAAUAUAGAUCGAAAAUUGAUUAACUAUUUCAUUCUUGCAUCUGUUGAAAUAAAUCUUAAUUAUGAUGAAUGUUACAUCUUUGUUGGUUUCUAGGCUCAAUUGCCGAAGAACGGAACAAUCUGUGAUAGGUAGUAUGAAUUGCAAAAUUUGUGAAUCCUUGAGAGCAACUUACUGUUUUGGUUAUUCAAAGGAACUAUGCUCUUUUGUCUGUCAUUUGGAAUAUGAAAUGUGGAAUUGAAGUCUCGCGGCCUUGGGUGUUUAACCUCUAUUAAGUGGUGCAAGAUUAUUUGAUUCUUGUUACCUCUGAGAACGUUGUUUUUUGGUUGAGCGAGUUGAGCUUUUGCUUGAAGCAUUCGGAUAGCGGCUUUCGCUUCCGGACCGGAGCUGGACAAAGUGUGGAAGGCUUGAGCAGUGCUUGCACGUUUGGCUAGCAAUUAGCAACCGACUAAGAACUGGUAUGGACAAGGGGAAUCCAACAAUUUAAGCAUUGCGAUAACUGGAAAUGGUGUUGACGUAAUGUGAUUUCUGCCCAGUACUCUGAAUGUCAAAGUGAAGAAAUUCAACCAAGCGCGUGUAAACGGCGGGAGUAACUAUGACUCUCUCAAGGUUGCCAAAUGUCUCGUCAUCAAAUUAGUGACGCGCAUAAAUAGAUUUACGAGAUUCCCACUGUCCCUAUCUCCUAUCUAACGAAACCACAGCCAAGGGAACGGGCUUGGCAGAAUCAGCGGGGAAAGAAGACACUGUUGAACUUGACUCUAGUUCGAUUUUGUGAAAAGACACGAGAGGUACAGAAUAAGUAGGAGGAGCAAUCCAACAGUUAAAUACCACUACUUUCAUCAUUUUUUUACUUUUUAAAUUAAGCGGACUGAGGAUUAAUUUCCCACUUUCUAGCUUUAAGUACCUUCGUGGUGCGAUCCGAGUUUAAGACAUUGUCAGGUGGGGAGUUUGGCUGGGGCGGUACAUCUGUUAAAUAAUAACGUAGGUGUCCUACAGUUAGCUCAGUGAGAACAGAAAUCUCAUGUAUAACAAACGGGUAAAACCUCACUUGAUUUUGAUUUUCAGUACGAAUACGAACUGUGAAAGCAUGACCUAUACAUCCUUUAGACUUGGGAAAUUUUAAGCUAGAGGUUUCAGAAAAAUUACUACGGAGAGAACUGGCGUGUGGCAUCCAAUCUUUAAUAGCGACAUUGCCUUUUGAUCCUUCGAUGUCAGCUCUUCCUAUCAUUGUAAAUAAGACAGUUGGAUUGUUCACCCACUAAUAGGGAACUUCAGCUGGUUUAGACCGUCGUGAGACAGGCUUGUUUUACCCUACUGAUGAGUCAUUGUUGCAAUAGUAAUAUAAGUCAGGAAAGGAACCGUUAUUUCACGUAAUUGGUAUUUGCCGUUGACUCAAAAGUCAUUGUGGCGGAGCUACCGUGUGUAGGAUUACGACCGAACGCCUCUAAGUCAGAAUCCAUGUUAAAGCAACGAUUUUCACUUUUCUUAUUAUUAGACAAACAGAAAUGCAGUGCCUUGUGCACUGCCAAGGUAUAACAGACGGGCUUAUUCAGUACGGCGAAAAAUUGUGCUGAUGUAACCGUGAAUGAUAAUUUCAAAUAACAAGAGCGAUAAAUCCUUUGCA
rnacentral:rRNA from 1 species